rnacentral:tRNA from 1 species
AUAUUCGUUGAUGUAAAGGCAUAAAAAGUUUUGAUCUUUUAAGAAGUGGUGUAACUCCGCUACGUAUAAU